UACGUAGGGUGCAAGCGUUGUCCGGAAUUAUUGGGCGUAAAGAGCUCGUAGGCGGUUUGUCGCGUCUGCUGUGAAAACCCGAGGCUCAACCUCGGGCCUGCAGUGGGUACGGGCAGACUAGAGUGCGGUAGGGGAGAUUGGAAUUCCUGGUGUAGCGGUGGAAUGCGCAGAUAUCAGGAGGAACACCAAUGGCGAAGGCAGAUCUCUGGGCCGUAACUGACGCUGAGGAGCGAAAGCUGGGGGAGCAAACAGG
rnacentral:rRNA from 1 species